rnacentral:ncRNA from 2 species
GGGCGCGGCCGCGACUGGCGAGUCAGGUGGAGCACCACCGGGAAGCGGCCGAUGGCAUCCGUCCCGCAUCGCACGCCUGGGUGGGGGAG